UACGUAGGGUGCGAGCGUUGUCCGGAAUUAUUGGGCGUAAAGAGCUUGUAGGCGGUUUGUCGCGUCUGCUGUGAAAAUCCGGGGCUCAACCCCGGACUUGCAGUGGGUACGGGCAGACUAGAGUGUGGUAGGGGAGACUGGAAUUCCUGGUGUAGCGGUGAAAUGCGCAGAUAUCAGGAGGAACACCGAUGGCGAAGGCAGGUCUCUGGGCCAUUACUGACGCUGAGGAGCGAAAGCGUGGGGAGCGAACAGG
rnacentral:rRNA from 1 species